UCUGCCUUAUCGGCGAGCGGUUUCAUUAGAGUGCCCAACUAAAUGCUGGCAACUAAUGACAAGGGUUGCGCUCGUUGCGGGACUUAACCCAACAUCUCACGACACGAGCUGACGACAGCCAUGCAGCACCUGUCUCGACGUCCCCGAAGGGAACUCCCGCUUUCACGGGAUAGCGUCGGAUGUCAAGCCCAGGUAAGGUUUUUCGCGUUGCGUCGAAUUAAACCACAUACUCCACCGCUUGUGCGGGCCCCCGUCAAUUUCUUUGAGUUUUAAUCUUGCGACCGUACUUCCCAGGCGGGACACUUAAUGCGUUAGCUGCGACACCGAGAGGGUAAGUCUCCCGACAUCUAGUGUCCAUAGUUUACGGCGUGGACUAC
rnacentral:misc_RNA from 1 species